rnacentral:lncRNA from 12 species
CAAGUCAUGUCGGAAUGCAGAUGGGAGGUUUGGGAGAUGCUGACCAGGCCGGGAGGUAGGUACGCGUGGUCUUACAUGCCGUGGCGGCGGGCUUGGACUUCAUCAAGUAGAGGAUGGGGAGGCUCUAGAGUAGGGAGUUGUGCCUUCUGUAUAUUAUUUAGGCAGCUGGGCACAGGGUGACUUUGAGAAGGCUGGAGGUCAGGCAGGAUGCUGGCACGGUUGUCCAAAACAAAGUCCUGAACUAAGGUGGCGACAGCAAGAUAGUGCGAGGUUAGGGCUGAGAAACAGAUGAUAGGAUAAAUUGGAAGGACUUGGACUGAGUUCUGAGAAGGUGAUUCAGAGGUUCAUUAAUUCUUCAGAGUGGCCGCAGAAAUUACUCUGGCUUUGGAGACUGGAUCCUUCCUUUGAGACCUGAAGAUCCUCCAUCAUGAUCGUCUGCCUGUAACUUUGUGGAGAGGCUGGCAUUAACGUUCCAGGGGUUAUGGGUGGCCAUUCAGGAAGAGAAAAAGACCUCUCUCUUUGGAAAAUACAAACUUUGAAGAACUUGGAAACAACAGAUUUCUAGAUUGUUUGGAAGGUGCCCAGUACCUCUACACCCACACGGGACUCCUGGAUUUAUUUCCUGCCUUCACCCCACACAGCUAAUUGAAUGAUUAUUCAGCCUGGAGGAUGCAAUUUGGGCUGGAAGGCAGGGGACCGGGAACCAAUAAUGCCAGCACAAGAAAAAUCCAUCUCAUCAUCUCAUAUAUUGUUCCUUCCAUGGAGAGGCCCGCGAAAGAAGAACGGAGCACACAUCUGCUGUCUCUUAUCCUCUAAGACUGAAUAGACCGGAGCGGGGCUGAUGUGCCACAUGCAUGCCACUGGAGAGGGAUCAAAUGCUCCACGUUGUGUCAGGAGGUCAAAGGCCAGAUGACUCCAGUAGUCAUCCGCAACGACCUUAGUGGUAUGUUUCAGAGAAGGGGUUUCUCAGUAUGAUAUGUGGCCGCCUAGAGAGCACCAGUUACCCUCCUGAUGGGCCACAGACUAAUCCAAAAUGGAAGACAUUUUCUUGAGUGUGAAUGAAACACAACUCUUUAGAGCCCCUCUUUUAUUAUGGCCAAGCCUACUUGAUGGCAACCUCUCACGUUGUGAUAGUGAGAGCCAAAUUAAGACUCACCAGAGUUUACUGAGGACUCAAAAGUAAACUACAUAUUGCACUUACUUGGCGCUAUGUAAGCUCUGGGAGAGGAAGGACUUUGUUUUGUUCAUUGCUGUAUCCCCAGCGGCCAGAGUGAUGCUUGGGCAGUGAGCAGGUGCUUGAUGAAUGAGUAUGUACUGAACUAUUUGAAGAGGUGAUGGCUCCUCCUUCACAUGUGCAUGGGCGUCAAGUUUUAUUUCCCACAGUUUGGGGGAAGGAUACGUUGUUAUUAGAACAUCUACAGUUUGUUGUGAUUUUCUAUUGCUGCUAAUCUUGCUGUAGAAAUAUAAAUUACCGUGAGCUUGGCUUCAUCACUACUAAUUUUAGUAUGACGUGGGUUGUUUGGCUAACCCUACAAUAUGUAGCUCUGCACAUUUGCAUCAACAUUAUUUUGGACUAUAAUUUUCCAAUAACUAGAUGUUAAGGCACGCCUGCAGUGAGUUCAAUAAUGAAUCAUCUAUAUAUCUAGAGAUAAAACAGACACAUACAUGCGUCAUCUGCCAAAUUGUGCUGCCUUCCCUAGUUAUGUGCUAUCUCUCUAUUUGCUCUAUUUAAAUAAAAUGCACUAUCACAUGUAACA